GAGUGAACGCUGGCGGUAGGCCUAACCCAUGCAAGUCGAACGGCAGCACAGUAAGAGCUUGCUCUUACGGGUGGCGAGUGGCGGACGGGUGAGGAAUACAUCGGAAUCUACUUUUUCGUGGGGGAUAACGUAGGGAAACUUACGCUAAUACCGCAUACGACCUACGGGUGAAAGCAGGGGAUCUUCGGACCUUGCGCGAUUGAAUGAGCCGAUGUCGGAUUAGCUAGUUGGCGGGGUAAAGGCCCACCAAGGCGACGAUCCGUAGCUGGUCUGAGAGGAUGAUCAGCCACACUGGAACUGAGACACGGUCCAGACUCCUACGGGAGGCAGCAGUGGGGAAUAUUGGACAAUGGGCGCAAGCCUGAUCCAGCCAUACCGCGUGGGUGAAGAAGGCCUUCGGGUUGUAAAGCCCUUUUGUCGGGAAAGAAAAGCAGCAGGUUAAUACCCCGCUGUUCUGACGGUACCCAAAGAAUAAGCACCGGCUAACUUCGUG
rnacentral:rRNA from 1 species